UCAGAAUGCAGAUACGUGAUGGACGGGGA
rnacentral:piRNA from 1 species